GGAGAGGUGGCCGAGCGGUCGAAGGCGGCUCCCUGCUAAGGAGUUGAGCGGUUUACCCCGCUCCGAGGGUUCGAAUCCCUCCCUCUCCG
rnacentral:tRNA from 1 species